AGAGUAGAGGUCGCGUGCUUCAAUAGUAGCUCACCGGAUGCGUUCAGGCGCAGUGGAACGUGAGAGAAAGGGGAGGACGCCGAAAGGUGCAGUACCUGAGGCUGUACGCUUGGGCAUACAGUGAAGAACUGUAUGACUCUCAUCAUUUCUGAUGGGGAGCUCUCUG
rnacentral:ncRNA from 1 species